UUUGGGGAGACAUCUAAUUAAUUAAUAUAAUUUUUUUUUGUUUCCUUGAUAUAUCAACAAUUUCUUUUAUCUUUUAUAAAUGUUUUUGACAGUCUUAAUUUUUUAGAAAUCUUAAUUUUGUAAAGAUUAGUAUAAGGAAAUAUUUAUAUCGAAAGUAGUCAUUUAUGUUUUUUUCAAGCAACUUUGAGAAGCAUUAAGUGAAAUAUUCAUUUCAGAAAAUUGUAACAGUAUGGUUGAAAAUAUUGUUGUUGCAGCUGCUGGAUAGAUGAAUUAGCAGACUAGGUUCUAAUCUGCACCUUUUUUCUGUACAAAAUACAAUAUAUUGAUUUUUUAAAAUUUGCAUAGUCCUUAGUUGUUGUAUAAAUGAAUUUUAAAGCAUUUUGUUGUAGAAUCAAUAAAGCAGUAGUUGGAUAGAUGUAUUAGUUUUAAAGCAUUUGAUAUUAAAGAAGUUCUGAAAAAUUUAUUAUUGAAAA